rnacentral:rRNA from 1 species
GACGAACGCUGGCGGCGUGCUUAACACAUGCGAGUCGAACGGUAAGGCCCUUCGGGGUACACGAGUGGCGAACGGGUGAGUAACACGUGGGUGAUCUGCCCUGCACUUCGGGAUAAGCCUGGGAAACUGGGUCUAAUACCGGAUAGGACUCCGGACUGCAUGGUCUGGGGUGGAAAGCUUUUGCGGUGUGGGAUGGGCCCGCGGCCUAUCAGCUUGUUGGGGGGGUAAUGGCCUACCAAGGCGACGACGGGUAGCCGGCCUGAGAGGGUGACCGGCCACACUGGGACUGAGAUACGGCCCAGACUCCUACGGGAGGCAGCAGUGGGGAAUAUUGCACAAUGGGCGCAAGCCUGAUGCAGCGACGCCGCGUGAGGGAUGACGGCCUUCGGGUUGUAAACCUCUUUCAGCAUCGACGAAGCGAAAGUGACGGUAGGUGCAGAAGAAGGACCGGCCAACUACGUGCCAGCCGCCGCCGUAA